UAGCAUAUCAAUAAGCGGAGGAAAAGAAACCAACAGGGAUUGCCCCAGUAACGGCGAGUGAAGCGGCAACAGCUCAAAUUUGAAAUCUGGCCCUCGGGUCCGAGUUGUAAUUUGGAGAGGAUGCUUCUGGCGCGGCGCCGUCCGAGUUCCUUGGAACAGGACGCCAUAGAGGGUGAGAGCCCCGUACGGGCGGCCGCCUAGCCUUUGUGAAGCUCCUUCGACGAGUCGAGUAGUUUGGGAAUGCUGCUCAAAAUGGGAGGUAAAUUUCUUCUAAAGCUAAAUACCGGCCAGAGACCGAUAGCGCACAAGUAGAGUGAUCGAAAGAUGAAAAGCACUUUGAAAAGAGGGUUAAAAAGUACGUGAAAUUGUUGAAAGGGAAGCGCCUGUGACCAGACUUGCGGCUCACGGAUCAUCCGGUGUUCUUCACCGGUGCACUCCGCGUGCCGCAGGCCAGCAUCGGUUUUCCUGGGGGGAGAAAGGUCGCGGGAACGUAGCUCUUUCGGGAGUGUUAUAGCCCGUGGCGUCAUGCCCCCGGGGGGACCGAGGACCGCGCUUCGGCAAGGAUGCUGGCGUAAUGGUCACCGGCGACCCGUCUUGAAACACGGACCAAGGAGUCAAGCAUUGGGGCGAGUGUCUGGGUGCCAAACCCGCACGCGAAAUGAAAGUAAACGCAGGUGAGAGCUUCGGCGCAUCACCGACCGAUCCUGAUGUCUUCGGAUGGAUUUGAGUAAGAGCCUUACCGCUUGGACCCGAAAGAUGGUGAACUAUGCCUGUAUAGGGUGAAGCCAGAGGAAACUCUGGUGGAGGCUCGCAGCGGUUCUGACGUGCAAAUCGAUCGUCAAAUAUGGGCAUGGGGGCGAAAGACUAAUCGAACCAUCUAGUAGCUGGUUACCGCCGAA
rnacentral:rRNA from 1 species